AUUAAUAAGCGGAGGAAAAGAAACUAACCAGGAUUCCCUCAGUAACGGCGAGUGAAGCGGGAAGAGCCCAGCACCGAAUCGCACGCCUUCCGGCGUCGCGAACUGUGGUGUUUAGGACUAGCGCAUGUCCGUCGGAACGGUGUCCGAGUCCUCCUGAUCGGGGCUUUGCCAGAGCGGGUGUCAGCCCUCUACGGCACCGGACCGUCGGACCCGCCACGUCCUCGGAGUCGGGUUGUUUGAGAAUGCAGCCCAAAGCGGGUGGUAAACUCCAUCUAAGGCUAAAUACGGACACGAGUCCGAUAGCGAACAAGUACCGUGAGGGAAAGUU
rnacentral:rRNA from 1 species